CUCUUUAGACCUCAUUCUCUCCCAUUACAUACUUUGAGAAGCCCAUGGAGUGUUUGGAUUUCCAAGCCAACUUGCUGAGAAUUUAUAAACCAGCCUUUGCAGUGAGAACUGAACUGCUUCGGACAGCAGGGGGAGCAAGAUGAAGUCACAGAUCCAGGUCCUCCUAUCCCUGCUGCUUUUGGUGUCUGGUGCCUGUGCAGACAUCGUGAUGACUCAGUCGCCAUCCUCCCUGGCUGUGUCAGCAGGAGAGAAAGUCUCCAUCAGCUGCAGGUCCAGUCAGAGUCUUUUAGACAGCAAAGACCAAAAGAGCUACUUGUCCUGGUACCAGCAGAAACCAGGGCAAUCCCCUAAACUGCUGAUCUACUGGGCAUUGACUCAGCACACUGGGGUCCCUGAUAGCUUCAUAGGCAGUGGAUCUGGGACAGAUUUCACUCUCACCAUCAGCAGUAUGCAGGCUGAAGACCUGGUAGUUUAUUACUGUCAGAACGUUUAUUGUACUCCUCACACAGUGCUUCAGCCUCCAACACAAACCUCCUUGAGAGUCUCACCAGCUGCCUGCACCACACACAGCCAUGGCCAUGCACACUUCCCAUUAUGCGUGAUAGCAGGUGGGACUGAAAACAUGAUGAAAACUUUGCAGAGCUCCUUACAAAAUCAUGGGUUCAAUGAUUUUGAUGACUUUUGGUAUGAGAAACCUUCAUAA